CGGUAAUUCCAGCUCCAAUAGCGUAUACUAAAGUUGUUGCAGUUAAAAAGCUCGUAGUUGGAUUUCUGCGGGAGCGGGGCGGCACACCUGCUAUGCAGGUCGUAGCUAGCACUUCUCCUGCAUCCUGCCGCGAACCGUGCUACCAUUAGUUUGGUGGCGCCGGGGAUCGGCUCGUUUACUUUGAGAAAAAUAGAGUGUUCAAAGCAGGCCACACGCCUUGAAUAAGUUAGCAUGGAAUAAUGAUUAAAGACUUCGGUUCUAUUUUGUUGGUGUUCGGGACUGAAGUAAUGAUUGAUAGGGACAGUUGGGGCGGUCUGUAUUCCAAAGCGAGAGGUGAAAUUCUUAGACCUUCGGAAGACAAACAGCUGCGAAAGCGUUCCGCAAGGAUGUUCCCUUUGAUCAAGAACGAAAGUUGGGGGAUCGAAGACGAUCAGAUACCGUCGUAGUCUCAACUAUAAACUAUACCAGCUAGGGAUUGGCCAACGUUUCUUUAUACCGACUUGGUCGGCACCUUAUGAGAAAUCAAAGCAUCUGGGUUCCGGGGGGAGUAUGGUCGCAAGGCUGAAACUUAAAGGAAUUGACGGAAGGGCACCACCAGCCGUGGAGCCUGCGGCUUAAUUUGACUCAACACGGGAAAACUUACCAGGUCCAGACAUAGUAAGGAUUGACAGAUUGAUAGCUCUUUCUUGAUUCUGUGGGUGGUGGUGCAUGGCCGUUCUUAGUUGGUGGAGUGAUUUGUCUGGUUAAUUCCGUUAACGAACGGGACCCCAGCCUGCUAAAUAGCGCGGCUGAGCUUUGCUCGGCACGAGCUUCUUAGAGGGACUAUGUUGCGCGAUAGCACAUGGAAGUUUGGGGCAAUAACAGGUCUGUGAUGCCCUUAGAUGUUCUGGGCCGCACGCGGGCUACACUGGCGCCUGCAUCGAGCAUAUCAGCUGGCCCGAGAGGGUCUUGGCUAAUCUUUUGAACCGGCGCCGUGCUUGGGAUUGACCUUUGCAAUUGUUGGUCAUGCAACGAGGAAUGCCUUGUAAACGCGAGUCAUCAGCUCGCAUUGAAUACGUCCCUGCCCCUUGUACACACCGCCC
rnacentral:rRNA from 1 species